AUACGUAGGUGGCAAGCGUUGUCCGGAAUUAUUGGGCGUAAAGCGCAUGUAGGCGGCGUGUUAAGUCUGUCGUGAAACUGCGGGGCUCAGCCCCGUAUGGCGAUGGAAACUGAUGUGCUUGAGUGCAGGAGAGGAAAGGGGAACUCCCAGUGUAGCGGUGAAAUGCGUAGAUAUUGGGAAGAACACCGGUGGCGAAGGCGCCUUUCUGGACUGUGUCUGACGCUGAGAUGCGAAAGCCAGGGUAGCGAACGGGAUUAGAUACCCCGGUAGUCCUGGCCGUAAACGAUGGGUACUAGGUGUGGGAGGUAUCGACCCCUUCCGUGCCGGAGUUAACGCAAUAAGUACCCCGCCUGGGGAGUACGGCCGCAAGGCUUAGACUCAAAUGAAUUGACGGGG
rnacentral:rRNA from 1 species